CCGAUAGGUGAACCUGCGGAAGGAUCAUUA
rnacentral:rRNA from 1 species